rnacentral:rRNA from 1 species
CGAGAUCUUCGGAUCUAGUGGCGCACGGGUGCGUAACGCGUAUGCAACUUACCUCUUACUGGGGAAUAACGUUUCGAAAGAGACGCUAAUACCGCAUAAUAAAUUAUAAGGCAUCUUAUGAUUUUAAAAGGUUACGGUAGGAGAUGGGCAUGCGUCCCAUUAGCUAGUUGGUAAGGUAACGGCUUACCAAGGCAACGAUGGGUAGGGGAACUGAGAGGUUGAUCCCCCACACUGGUACUGAGAUACGGACCAGACUCCUACGGGAGGCAGCAGUAAGGAAUAUUGGUCAAUGGACGAGAGUCUGAACCAGCCAUGCCGCGUGUAGGAAGAAGGCGUUCCGCGUCGUAAACUACUUUUAUAUAGGAAGAAAACGUUUCUGCGGAAAUAAUUGACGGUACUAUAUGAAUAAGCACCGGCUAACUACGUGCCAGCAGCCGCGGUAAUACGUAGGGUGCAAGCGUUGUCCGGAUUUAUUGGGUUUAAAGGGUGCGUAGGCGGAAGCUUAAGUCUUGGGUGAAAUCCCACCGCUCAACGGUGGAACUGCCUGAGAAACUGGGUUUCUUGAGUAUAGUUGAGGUAGCUGGAAUUGGUGGUGUAGCGGUGAAAUGCAUAGAUACCACCAGGAACACCUAUUGCGAAGGCAAGUUACUAAGCUAUAACUGACGCUGANGCACGAAAGCGUGGGGAGCAAACAGGAUUAGAUACCCUGGUAGUCCCCU